rnacentral:rRNA from 1 species
AGAACGAACGCUGGCGGCAUGCCUAAUACAUGCAAGUCGAACGAACACUUCGGUGUUAGUGGCGCACGGGUGCGUAACGCGUGGGAAUCUGCCCUUGGGUUCGGAAUAACAGUUGGAAACGACUGCUAAUACCGGAUGAUAUCGAAAGAUCAAAGAUUUAUCGCCCAGGGAUGAGCCCGCGUAGGAUUAGCUAGUUGGUGAGGUAAAGGCUCACCAAGGCGACGAUCCUUAGCUGGUCUGAGAGGAUGAUCAGCCACACUGGGACUGAGACACGGCCCAGACUCCUACGGGAGGCAGCAGUAGGGAAUAUUGGACAAUGGCGAAAGCCUGAUCCAGCAAUGCCGCGUGAGUGAUGAAGCCUUAGGUUGUAAAGCUCUUUACCCGAGAUGAUAAUGACAGUAUCGGGAGAAUAAGCCCCGGCUAAACUCCGUGCCAGCAGCCGAC